CGGUGAAGGAGAGCUUGCUCUCCGGAUCAGUGGCGAACGGGUGAGUAACACGUGAGCAACCUGCCCCGGACUCUGGGAUAACAGCUGGAAACAGCUGCUAAUACCGGAUACGAGCUGCGAAGGCAUCUUCAGCAGCUGGAAAGAACUUCGGUCCGGGAUGGGCUCGCGGCCUAUCAGCUAGUUGGUGAGGUAACGGCUCACCAAGGCGUCGACGGGUAGCCGGCCUGAGAGGGUGACCGGCCACACUGGGACUGAGACACGGCCCAGACUCCUACGGGAGGCAGCAGUGGGGAAUAUUGCACAAUGGGCGAAAGCCUGAUGCAGCAACGCCGCGUGAGGGAUGACGGCCUUCGGGUUGUAAACCUCUUUUAGCAGGGAAGAAGCGAAAGUGACGGUACCUGCAGAAAAAGCGCCGGCUAACUACGUGCCAGCAGCCGCGGUAAUACGUAGGGCGCAAGCGUUAUCCGGAAUUAUUGGGCGUAAAGAGCUCGUAGGCGGUCUGUCGCGUCUGCUGUGAAAACCCGAGGCUCAACCUCGGGCCUGCAGUGGGUACGGGCAGACUAGAGUGCGGUAGGGGAGAUUGGAAUUCCUGGUGUAGCGGUGGAAUGCGCAGAUAUCAGGAGGAACACCGAUGGCGAAGGCAGAUCUCUGGGCCGUAACUGACGCUGAGGAGCGAAAGGGUGGGGAGCAAACAGGCUUAGAUACCCUGGUAGUCCACCCCGUAAACGUUGGGAACUAGUUGUGGGGUCCAUUCCACGGAUUCCGUGACGCAGCUAACGCAUUAAGUUCCCCGCCUGGGGAGUAC
rnacentral:rRNA from 1 species